GUAAAACACAGUAGGACAGGAAUUUGCGAUCAAAUAAGGUGGGCUGCCCUUUAGGAGAGGGCAAGAGACAUGUAUGUGAGGUAGGGGUUAGUCUGGGAGGCCAUAAGCUUUCCUAAAGAGAUGGGUUUUAAGGCACUUCUUAAAAGAUGCAAGACUAGGGGAGAGUCUGAUGGCGGGAGGCAGGCUAUUCCAUAGGAAGGGAGCCGCCCGCGAGAAGUCCUGCAAGCGCGAGUUGGCCGUACGGGUGCGGACAACGGACAGGAGGUGG